rnacentral:rRNA from 1 species
AAAACUUUCAACGCUUGGCGGCGUGCUUAACACAUGCAAGUCGAACGAUGAUGCCCAGCUUGCUGGGUGGAUUAGUGGCGAACGGGUGAGUAACACGUGAGUAACCUGCCCCUGACUCUGGGAUAAGCGUUGGAAACGACGUCUAAUACUGGAUAUGAUCACUGGCCGCAUGGUCUGGUGGUGGAAAGAUUUUUUGGUUGGGGAUGGACUCGCGGCCUAUCAGCUUGUUGGUGAGGUAAUGGCUCACCAAGGCGACGACGGGUAGCCGGCCUGAGAGGGUGACCGGCCACACUGGGACUGAGACACGGCCCAGACUCCUACGGGAGGCAGCAGUGGGGAAUAUUGCACAAUGGGCGAAAGCCUGAUGCAGCAACGCCGCGUGAGGGAUGACGGCCUUCGGGUUGUAAACCUCUUUUAGUAGGGAAGAAGCGAAAGUGACGGUACCUGCAGAAAAAGCACCGGCUAACUACGUGCCAGCAGCCGCGGUAAUACGUAGGGUGCAAGCGUUGUCCGGAAUUAUUGGGCGUAAAGAGCUCGUAGGCGGUUUGUCGCGUCUGCUGUGAAAUCCCGAGGCUCAACCUCGGGCUUGCAGUGGGUACGGGCAGACUAGAGUGCGGUAGGGGAGAUUGGAAUUCCUGGUGUAGCGGUGGAAUGCGCAGAUAUCAGGAGGAACACCGAUGGCGAAGGCAGAUCUCUGGGCCGUAACUGACGCUGAGGAGCGAAAGCAUGGGGAGCGAACAGGAUUAGAUACCCUGGUAGUCCAUGCCGUAAACGUUGGGCGCUAGAUGUAGGGACCUUUCCACGGUUUCUGUGUCGUAGCUAACGCAUUAAGCGCCCCGCCUGGGGAGUACGGCCGCAAGGCUAAAACUCAAAGGAAUUGACGGGGGCCCGCACAAGCGGCGGAGCAUGCGGAUUAAUUCGAUGCAACGCGAAGAACCUUACCAAGGCUUGACAUACACCGGAAACGGCCAGAGAUGGUCGCCCCCUUGUGGUCGGUGUACAGGUGGUGCAUGGUUGUCGUCAGCUCGUGUCGUGAGAUGUUGGGUUAAGUCCCGCAACGAGCGCAACCCUCGUUCUAUGUUGCCAGCGGGUUAUGCCGGGGACUCAUAGGAGACUGCCGGGGUCAACUCGGAGGAAGGUGGGGAUGACGUCAAAUCAUCAUGCCCCUUAUGUCUUGGGCUUCACGCAUGCUACAAUGGCCGGUACAAAGGGCUGCGAUACCGUAAGGUGGAGCGAAUCCCAAAAAGCCGGUCUCAGUUCGGAUUGAGGUCUGCAACUCGACCUCAUGAAGUCGGAGUCGCUAGUAAUCGCAGAUCAGCAACGCUGCGGUGAAUACGUUCCCGGGCCUUGUACACACCGCCCGUCAAGUCAUGAAAGUCGGUAACACCCGAAGCCGGUGGCCUAACCCUUGUGGAAGGAGCCGUCGAAGGUGGAUUCGGUAUUAAGGCCCCUC